GGAACACCAGAGUCUCUGGCCUCGAUAUGGAAAAGGAACUCCUUCUCUAUCUCAUAAUCAAACGUCUUUAGUGCGUAAAGGUUUCCGUUCUCUGGAUUGAUGGAGAACAGCAUGGACAUGGAGGUGUUCACUAUUUCUUUUUCUAUGAUGAAAUAAACUAGAUACUGGUUUUCAUGGAGGUCUGGGUCAUGUGCUGUUAUAGAGCUCAGUAAAGCACCGGGUGAGUUAUUCUCCGUAACAGAAAUACUGUAGAA